rnacentral:lncRNA from 10 species
ACAGGGGCCCGCCACCAAGCUCGGCUAAUUUUUUGUAUUUUUCCUAGGCAACAAAGCAAGACCUUGUCUUAAAAAAAAAGAAUCCAGAGAGAGGAUCAGGCAGUUAGUGCCUUCAUUAGACCACACUAUCCCAUCAACACCAAACUGUUGUUUGGAGGGCUUCAGCUCACAGCACCAUGCAAUUUCCUAACGCUUCUGAGUUUGAGACUCCCCUAGACAGAAGCUAAGUGGAGCACAUCAGACUUCCAAAAGCCUCUGCAAAGCAACGUGGUAUUGUGGGAAAAUGGUAGAUGCAAGUUCAAAUAACCUACUGCUAAUAAUAAAUGUGUGACUUUGUGAAAAUUACUUUAUCCUUCUGACUUUUACUUUCAUCAUUUGUAAAACGAGAAGAAGACUAUCUCAUGGGUCUCUUGCAUGUGGUUCCCAACCAGGCUGCAUGUUAAAAUCGCAGUUUAAAAAUGUGACAGCCUGAGUCACACCUCCUGCAAGUUAAAUUGGUGUCUCCAAGGGUGAGAUCCAGACACCAGUAGAUUUUUAAAGCUUCACACGUCAUUCUAAUCUGCAUCCAGGAUUGAAAAUCACUCGUGAAGCCAGGUGCGGUCGC